rnacentral:rRNA from 1 species
UACGAAGGGGGCUAGCGUUGUUCGGAAUUACCGGGCGUAAAGAGCGCGUAGGCGGUUUUGUAAGUCAGACGUGAAAGCCCUGGGCUUAACCCAGGAUGUGCGUUUGAAACUAUAGAGCUAGAGGACCAGAGAGGUGAGUGGAAUUCCUAGUGUAGAGGUGAAAUUCGUAGAUAUUAGGAGGAACAUCAGUGGCGAAGGCGGCUCACUGGCUGGUAACUGACGCUGAGGCGCGAAAGCGUGGGGAGCAAACAGG